CCUACGGGAGGCAGCAGUAGGGAAUAUUGGACAAUGGGCGAAAGCCUGAUCCAGCCAUGCCGCGUGAUAGAUGAAGGCCUCUGGGUUGUAAAUAUCUUUUAUCUGGGAAGCGGUACCAGAGGAAUAAGCACCGGCUAACUCCGUGCCAGCAGCCGCGGUAAUACGGAGGGUGCAAGCGUUAUCCGGAUUCACUGGGUUUAAAGGGUGCGUAGGCGGGUAUAUAAGUCAGUGGUGAAAGCUCCGGGCUUAACUUGGAAACUGCCAUUGAUACUGUAUAUCUUGAAUGUCGUUGAGGUUAGCGGAAUGUUGCAUGUAGCGGUGAAAUGCUUAGAUAUGUUACAGAACACCAAUUGUGAAGACAGCUAACUAAGCGAUAUUGACGCUGAGGCACGAAAGCGUGGGGAGCAAACAGGAUUAGAUACCCUUGUAGUC
rnacentral:rRNA from 1 species